GGAUGAUAAUAGGUGAUAUAUAUAUUUAUCUGUAAAAAGUAAACAUCAUACUUUAUACUACGAUUGCGUCCGUAACGCUUUUCUGAAUUAACAUUCAGUAGGAACGAUCAAAACCAAGCUGUUAAACCAAAGGAUGUAUACGAACCGAAACAUAAAAUACUUUUAACAUCGUCAUCAAAACAUGAAGAUGGAAAGCUUAAGAAAG
rnacentral:lncRNA from 1 species